GACGGAGGGUGCAAGCGUUGUUCGGAAUCACUGGGCGUAAAGCGCGUGUAGGCGGUUGGAUAAGUCGGAUGUGAAAUCCCGAAGCUCAACUUCGGAAGUGCAUUCGAAACUGUUCAGCUAGAGUACGGGAGAGGGGAGUGGAAUUCCUGGUGUAGAGGUGAAAUUCGUAGAUAUCAGGAGGAACACCGGUGGCGAAGGCGGCUCUCUGGACCGAUACUGACGCUGAGACGCGAAAGCGUGGGGAGCAAACAGG
rnacentral:rRNA from 1 species